AAUAAAGUCAUAAUUUUACAAGAAAAAAAGUCAUAAAAUUAUGAAAAUUAAGUCGUAAUCUUACAGGAAAAAAAAUCCUAAUGUUAUGAGAAUAAAGUUGUAAUUUUACAAGAAAAAAUAUUAUAUUAUAUAAAUAAUAUUACUUUUUUCUUGAUAUAUGUCUGUCCUGUGGCUGUGUACCUGUGUUCAUCGAUGUGUGUUGUUGUUAAUGAAGAAAAUAAAUGGAGUCUUUUAAUGAACUGGCUAAAAGAAACAGGUGCAGCAGGCUGAGAGGGUUUUGUUCUCUUUCCUGUUUCUUUUCCCGCCAACUGCUGCUCCACGCUCUAGUCCACAAGAUGGCGGCAAGCGCCUGUAAGCUGGUGUGUCGCUACCCGAUCUGCCAAUAAAACCGGAAGAAAAACAGCAGUGUGGGGACACAGCGGAGGGACGGAAACAUGUUUAUUCAUUUUUUUGAAAGCGAUUGGAUCAACAACAUUGUAAUGGAGAAGUUAAACCAGAAGGAGGCGGCAAUGUAUCAAAAUGGAUGCCGACUGUUGUAAAAACCGGAAGUAGACGAAGAAGAGCACACCUGCCUGCGUAGUCUGUUUGGAUGGCGGGAGUUACAAAAGUCUUUCUAUUAAAAGUCAAACAUGUAUGAAGAGAGUUGCUAUAAAACAUCCGUGUUGAAACAGGACUGAGAGCUGAGGAAGGUCAGGACUCACGAAGAAGAAACCGUCUGACUCAGGCAGAGUAAAGGUCAGCGCACUGGUGAGGACUUCAUAACGAUUUAUAGGACUUCCUGAAGACUGAAGACCAGAACUAUCAGACGGGGUUUCCCUCCUUCCAUCCAGGGGUUUACAUCAGUAGAUCAGGACUUCACUGUCUCAUCAUCUUCCUGGUUUGUGAUGCAGAGAGAAACUGAGGAGCUGUGGACGCAGCCUGAGGAGGAAGAGGAGGAUGAUGAAGAUGGGGAGGAUCGGCCUUCACAGCUGAGCUCUAUCUAAACUGAUCAAUAACUUGUUUCCUCCGAUCACUGUUGUCCGCCUGUCUCAUUCUCGUGGACACGAUAUCUCAGUAACACCUGGAGGGAACUUCUACAGAUUUGGAACAAACAUUCACUUGGACUUGAGGAUGAACUGAUUCGAUUUUGGUGGUCAAAGGUCAAAGGUCAAGGUAAGAAAACACUUUUUAGUCAUAACUCAAGACAGCAAUGGUUAAUGUUUGACAAACAGGAAGUGACCUGGAGGGGGCGGUG